GUGAGGAAUAUUGGUCAAUGGGCGGGAGCCUGAACCAGCCAAGUCGCGUGAAGGAAGAAGGAUCUAUGGUUCGUAAACUUCUUUUGCAGGGGAAUAAAGUGCAGGACGUGUCCUGUUUUGUAUGUACCCUGAGAAUAAGGAUCGGCUAACUCCGUGCCAGCAGCCGCGGUAAUACGGAGGAUCCGAGCGUUAUCCGGAUUUAUUGGGUUUAAAGGGUGCGUAGGUGGUUUGAUAAGUCAGCGGUGAAAGUUUGCAGCUUAACUGUAAAAAUGCCGUUGAAACUGUAGGACUUGAGUGUAAAGGAGGUAGGCGGAAUGCGUGGUGUAGCGGUGAAAUGCAUAGAUAUCACGCAGAACUCCGAUUGCGAAGGCAGCUUACUAAGCUACAACUGACACUGAAGCACGAAAGCGUGGGGAUCAAACAGGAUUAGAAACCCGUGUAGUCC
rnacentral:rRNA from 1 species